GUUUGAUCCUGGCUCAGGACGAACGCUGGCGGCGUGCCUAACACAUGCAAGUCGAACGAAAUUUACCUUUUCACUGAGCGCUCGAAGAGCAGCUAUAUGCUAUUAUCAAGAGCCAACACACUUAAAAAUUCGAGAACCGAGUGAAAAGGUAAAUUUAGUGGCGGACGGGUGAGUAACGCGUGAACAAUCUGCCCCAAACAAAGGAAUAGUCUCGGGAAACCGGGAAUAAAACCAUAUGAUACUCCACAGCCGCAUGGCAGAGGAGUCAAAUCGAAUAAGAGGUAAGGGAUGAGUUCGCGUCUGAUUAGCUAGUUGGUGAGGUAAGAGCCCACCAAGGCAACGAUCAGUAGCCGGCCUGAGAGGGUGAACGGCCACAUUGGAACUGAGAGACGGUCCAAACUCCUACGGGAGGCAGCAGUGGGGAAUAUUGCACAAUGGAGGGAUAUCUUUUAUCGCAAGCGACCGCCCGGGUGAGAUAAGAAGGUUUUCAGGAAUACGAAAAUCUCUCUGUCCAGGUGAAAAAGAUAUGACGGUAGCCAAAGAGGAAGCCCCGCUAACUACGUGCCGCCAGCCGCGGUAAUACGUAGGGGGGCGAGCGUUGUCCGGGAUUUACUGGGCGUAAAGGGUGAGUAGGCGGUUGUGCGUGUCAGAUGUAAAAGGCGUAGGCUUAACUUACGUUAGCAUUUGAAACUGUACGACUUGAGUGCAGGAGAGGUAAGCGGAAUUCCUAGUGUAGCGGUGAAAUGCGUAGAUAUUAGGAGGAACACCGGUGGCGAAGCGGCUUACUGGACUGUAACUGACGCUGAAUCACGAAAGCGUGGGUAGCAAACAGGAUUAGAUACCCUGGUAGUCCACGCUGUAAACGAUGAGUGCUAGGUGUUGGCCAGCGAUGGUCGGUGCCGAAGCAAACACAAUAAGCACUCCGCCUGGGGGAGUACGGUCGCAAGACUGAAACUCAAAGGAAUUGACGGGACCCGCACAAGCAGCGGAGCAUGGUGGUUUUUAUUCGAGCACGCGAGAACCUUACCAAGGCUUGCAUCCCUCUGAUUAUCAGAGAUGAUAAGCUCCUUCGGAGCAAGAAAGGGUCAUGGUUGUCGUCAGCUCGUGUCGUGAGAUGUUGGGUUAAGUCCCGCAACGAGCGCAACCCCUAUUCUUAGUUGCCAGCAGAUAAAGCUGGGCACUCUAAGGAGACUGCCGAUGACAAAUCGGAGGAAGGUGGGGAUGACGUCAAAUCAUCAUGCCCCUUAUGUCUUGGGCUACACACGUGCUACAAUGGCCGGAACAAAAGGAAGCGAAGGAGAGAUCCGGAGCAAAUCCCCAUAAACUGGUCCCAGUUCGGAUUGUAGGCUGCAAUUCGCCUACAUGAAGUCGGAGUUGCUAGUAAUCGCGAAUCA
rnacentral:rRNA from 1 species